CCUACGGGUGGCAGCAGUGAGGAAUAUUGGUCAAUGGGCGCGAGCCUGAACCAGCCAAGUCGCGUGAAGGAUGACUGCCCUACGGGUUGUAAACUUCUUUUAUAAAGGAAUAAAGUGAUGCACGUGUGCCUUUUUGCAUGUACUUUAUGAAUAAGGAUCGGCUAACUCCGUGCCAGCAGCCGCGGUAAUACGGAGGAUCCGAGCGUUUUCCGGAUUUAUUGGGUUUAAAGGGUGCGUAGAUGGGUUGUUAAGUCAGGUGUGAAAGUUUGCGGCUCAACCGUAAAAUUGCCAUUGAUACUGGAAGACUUGAGUACAGUUGAGGUAGGCGGAAUGCGUGGUGUAGCGGUGAAAUGCUUAGAUAUCACGCAGAACUCCGAUUGCGAAGGCAGCUUACUAAACUGCAACUGACAUUGAUGCACGAAAGUGUGGGUAUCAAACAGGAUUAGAUACCCGGGUAGUC
rnacentral:rRNA from 1 species